CCGGCGAUGUCCGAAUGGGGAAACCCAGUGCAAUUCGUUGCACUAUCGUUAACUGAAUACAUAGGUUAACGAGGCGAACCGGGGGAACUGAAACAUCUAAGUACCCCGAGGAAAAGAAAUCAACCGAGAUUCCCCCAGUAGCGGCGAGCGAACGGGGAGCAGCCCAGAGUCUGAAUCAGCUUGUGUGUUAGUGGAACGGUCUGGAAAGUCCGACGGUACAGGGUGAUAGUCCCGUACACCAAAAUGCACAGGCUGUGAACUCGAAGAGUAGGGCGGGACACGUGGUAUCCUGUCUGAAUAUGGGGGGACCAUCCUCCAAGGCUAAAUACUCCUGACUGACCGAUAGUGAACCAGUACCGUGAGGGAAAGGCGAAAAGAACCCCGGCGAGGGGAGUGAAAAAGAACCUGAAACCGUGUACGUACAAGCAGUGGGAGCACCUUCGGGUGUGACUGCGUACCUUUUGUAUAAUGGGUCAGCGACUUAUAUUCUGUAGCAAGGUUAACCGUAUAGGGGAGCCGCAGGGAAACCGAGUCUUAACUGGGCGUUAAGUUGCAGGGUAUAGACCCGAAACCCGGUGAUCUAGCCAUGGGCAGGUUGAAGGUUGGGUAACACUAACUGGAGGACCGAACCGACUAAUGUUGAAAAAUUAGCGGAUGACUUGUGGCUGGGGGUGAAAGGCCAAUCAAACCGGGAGAUAGCUGGUUCUCCCCGAAAGCUAUUUAGGUAGCGCCUCGUGAACUCAUCUUCGGGGGUAGAGCACUGUUUCGGCUAGGGGGUCAUCCCGACUUACCAACCCGAUGCAAACUACGAAUACCGAAGAAUGUUAUCACGGGAGACACACGGCGGGUGCUAACGUCCGUCGUGAAGAGGGAAACAACCCAGACCGCCAGCUAAGGUCCCAAAGUCAUGGUUAAGUGGGAAACGAUGUGGGAAGGCACAGACAGCCAGGAUGUUGGCUUAGAAGCAGCCAUCAUUUAAAGAAAGCGUAAUAGCUCACUGGUCGAGUCGGCCUGCGCGGAAGAUGUAACGGGGCUAAACCAUGCACCGAAGCUGCGGCAGCGACACUAUGUGUUGUUGGGUAGGGGAGCGUUCUGUAAGCCUGCGAAGGUGUGCUGUGAGGCAUGCUGGAGGUAUCAGAAGUGCGAAUGCUGACAUAAGUAACGAUAAAGCGGGUGAAAAGCCCGCUCGCCGGAAGACCAAGGGUUCCUGUCCAACGUUAAUCGGGGCAGGGUGAGUCGACCCCUAAGGCGAGGCCGAAAGGCGUAGUCGAUGGGAAACAGGUUAAUAUUCCUGUACUUGGUGUUACUGCGAAGGGGGGACGGAGAAGGCUAUGUUAGCCGGGCGACGGUUGUCCCGGUUUAAGCAUGUAGGCUGGUUGUCCAGGCAAAUCCGGAUAAUCAAGGCUGAGGUGUGAUGACGAGGCACUACGGUGCUGAAGUAACAAAUGCCCUGCUUCCAGGAAAAGCCUCUAAGCAUCAGGUAACAUUAAAUCGUACCCCAAACCGACACAGGUGGUCAGGUAGAGAAUACCAAGGCGCUUGAGAGAACUCGGGUGAAGGAACUAGGCAAAAUGGUGCCGUAACUUCGGGAGAAGGCACGCUGGUGUGUAGGUGAAGUCCCUGCGGAUGGAGCUGAGACCAGUCGAAGAUACCAGCUGGCUGCAACUGUUUAUUAAAAACACAGCACUGUGCAAACACGAAAGUGGACGUAUACGGUGUGACGCCUGCCCGGUGCCGGAAGGUUAAUUGAUGGGGUUAUCCGUAAGGAGAAGCUCUUGAUCGAAGCCCCGGUAAACGGCGGCCGUAACUAUAACGGUCCUAAGGUAGCGAAAUUCCUUGUCGGGUAAGUUCCGACCUGCACGAAUGGCGUAAUGAUGGCCAGGCUGUCUCCACCCGAGACUCAGUGAAAUUGAACUCGCUGUGAAGAUGCAGUGUACCCGCGGCAAGACGGAAAGACCCCGUGAACCUUUACUAUAGCUUGACACUGAACAUUGAGCCUUGAUGUGUAGGAUAGGUGGGAGGCUUUGAAGCGUGGACGCCAGUCUGCGUGGAGCCAACCUUGAAAUACCACCCUUUAAUGUUUGAUGUUCUAACGUUGGCCCCUUACCGGGGUUGCGGACAGUGUCUGGUGGGUAGUUUGACUGGGGCGGUCUCCUCCUAAAGCGUAACGGAGGAGCACGAAGGUUAGCUAAUCCUGGUCGGACAUCAGGAGGUUAGUGCAAUGGCAUAAGCUAGCUUGACUGCGAGCGUGACGGCGCGAGCAGGUGCGAAAGCAGGUCAUAGUGAUCCGGUGGUUCUGAAUGGAAGGGCCAUCGCUCAACGGAUAAAAGGUACUCCGGGGAUAACAGGCUGAUACCGCCCAAGAGUUCAUAUCGACGGCGGUGUUUGGCACCUCGAUGUCGGCUCAUCACAUCCUGGGGCUGAAGUAGGUCCCAAGGGUAUGGCUGUUCGCCAUUUAAAGUGGUACGCGAGCUGGGUUUAGAACGUCGUGAGACAGUUCGGUCCCUAUCUGCCGUGGGCGCUGGAGAAUUGAGGGGGGCUGCUCCUAGUACGAGAGGACCGGAGUGGACGCAUCACUGGUGUUCGGGUUGUCAUGCCAAUGGCACUGCCCGGUAGCUAAAUGCGGAAGAGAUAAGUGCUGAAAGCAUCUAAGCACGAAACUUGCCCCGAGAUGAGUUCUCCCUGAGACUUUAAGUCUCCUGAAGGAACGUU
rnacentral:rRNA from 1 species